UACGUAGGGUGCAAGCGUUAAUCGGAAUUACUGGGCGUAAAGCGUGCGCAGGCGGUUUUGUAAGUUUGUCGUGAAAGCCCCGGGCUCAACCUGGGAACUGCAGUCGAAACUGCAAAGCUUGAAUGUUGGAGAGGUUGGGGGAAUACCUAGUGGAGAAGUGAAAUUCGUAGAGAUUAGGUGGAACACCAGAGGCGAAGGCGCCUGACUGGCCAAACAUUGACGCUGAGGCGCGAAAGCGUGGGUAGCAAACAGG
rnacentral:rRNA from 1 species